rnacentral:tRNA from 1 species
UCGGCUUAGUAUAUUUAGUGCGUGGGAUUGUAGCUCCUGAGGAGGAUUAAUUUCUGGUCGGA